CAUGAAAAGAUUAGCCCUCAGAUUUGAUUUGCCCUUAAAUCUUCACUCCCUCCCCCCCCUCACCUUAAACCUAUUUCUUCUGGUUCUUGAUUCCCCUACUCGUGGCAAGAUACUAUGUGUGUCUACCCGACUUAUUUCUCUCAUGAUUUUGUACACCUCUAAAUGAUCACCUCUCAUCCUCCUGCACUCCAAGGAAUAGAGUCCUAGCGUGCUCAAACUCUCUCUAUAGCUAAGGCUCUUGAAUCCUGGCAUCAUUCUGGUAAACCUCCUCUGCACUCUUUCCAAAGCUU